UACAGAGGCCCCAAGCGUUAUCCGGAAUCACUGGGCGUAAAGGGUGUGUAGGCGGUUUUGUUAGUCUCCUGUUAAAGCUCCCGACCUAAUCGGGAAAAUGCAGGGGAAACGGCAAAACUUCGAGGAUGCGAGAGGUAAAUGGAACUCAUGGAGUAGGGGUGAAAUCCGUUGAUAUCAUGGGGAACACCAAAAGCGAAGGCAAUUUACUGGCGCAUUCCUGACGCUGAAACACGAAAGCGUAGGUA
rnacentral:rRNA from 1 species